GACGAACGCUGGCGGCGUGCCUAACACAUGCAAGUCGAACGGGGCAGCAAUGCCCAGUGGCGAACGGGUGCGUAACACGUGAGGAACUUGUCCAUCGGCGGGGGAUAGCCGGCCCAACGGCCGGGUAAUACCGCGUACGUCGGCGAGACCGCAUGGUCUUGCCGGGAAAGCAGCAAUGCACCGAUGGAGAGCCUCGCGGCCUAUCAGCUAGUUGGUGAGGUAAUGGCUCACCAAGGCGACGACGGGUAGCUGGUCUGAGAGGAUGAUCAGCCACAUUGGGACUGAGACACGGCCCAGACUCCUACGGGAGGCAGCAGUGGGGAAUAUUGCGCAAUGGGCGAAAGCCUGACGCAGCGACGCCGCGUGUGGGAUGACGGCCUCGGUUGUAACCG
rnacentral:rRNA from 1 species